GGACCAUCAACCCCCGGUGGUGUCGUUUCCAGUGAAAACCGAACUCCGGGAUGUAGCCGGAUUGGAGAGAAGCGAGUGACGCGUGCGCCCCCUUCCUGCGGCGGAUGGAUGAACGUUUCCUCCAAACCUCUCAAGAGCCCGUGGGAUUUUACCCUUUCACCUGCCUCCGCUUCUGCUGUAUCUUGUCCCAGUUCGUUAAGUGUGAAGGUCUCAGCAGCCACACCUCGACAGCAUACCGGGAACUCUCAAUACUCCUCUACCCAUUAGCAAUA
rnacentral:lncRNA from 1 species